UGGGGAAUAUUGCACAAUGGGCGCAAGCCUGAUGCAGCCAUGCCGCGUGUAUGAAGAAGGCCUUCGGGUUGUAAAGUACUUUCAGCGGGGAGGAAGGCGAUAAGGUUAAUAACCUUGUCGAUUGACGUUACCCGCAGAAGAAGCACCGGCUAACUCCGUGCCAGCAGCCGCGGUAAUACGGAGGGUGCAAGCGUUAAUCGGAAUUACUGGGCGUAAAGCGCACGCAGGCGGUCUGUCAAGUCGGAUGUGAAAUCCCCGGGCUCAACCUGGGAACUGCAUUCGAAACUGGCAGGCUAGAGUCUUGUAGAGGGGGGUAGAAUUCCAGGUGUAGCGGUGAAAUGCGUAGAGAUCUGGAGGAAUACAGGUGGCGAAGGCGGCCCCCUGGACAAAGACUGACGCUCAGGUGCGAAAGCGUGGGGAGCAAACA
rnacentral:rRNA from 1 species